rnacentral:lncRNA from 1 species
CUACACUUAAACAUUUUGAAGUAACAAAUUCACUUGUCAAGUGACCACAGUUUACUAAAAUCAAAACGCAAGUUCACAUUUCAAGUACCUAAAUUCAAAACAAAAGUCACUAAUCCAUAAUUCAAGUACCUAAACAUUUUCAAGUUACCAACCUAAACUAAUUUCAAAAUAAAAAGUUCACAUUUCAAGUACCUACACUUAAACAUUUUCAAGUCACUAAUUCACUUCACAGGUUGCCAAACUAAACUUAAUUCAAAAUGAAAAGUUCACAUUUCAAGUACCUACACUUAAACAUUUUCAAGUCACUAAUUCACUUAUCAAGUGACCACACUAUACUAAAAUCAAAACGCAAGUUCACAUUUCAAGUACCUAA